UAUGUUUUAUUACAAACGCUUCAGUUUAAGAAUGUCAUCUCUGCGUAUAACGCAAUUAUAUACAACUUUCAGCAACGGAUCUCUUGGCUCUCGCAUCGAUGAAGAACGCAGCGAAAUGCGAUAAGUAAUGUGAAUUGCAGAAUUCAGUGAAUCAUCGAAUCUUUGAACGCACCUUGCGCUCCCUGGUAUUCCGGGGAGCAUGCCUGUUUGAGUGUCAUGGUAUUCUCAACCUUCAUAACUUUUUUUGUUAUCGAAGGCUUGGAUUUGGAGGUUCGUGCUGGCUACUCGUUUAGUCGGCUCCUCUUAAAUGCAUUAGCGCGAGUGUAACGGAUCGCUUCGGUGUGAUAAUUAUCUGCGCCGUGGUCGUGAAGUAACAUAAGCUUGCGCUUCUAACCGUCCUUCAGUUGGACAACUUACUUUGACAUCUGACCUCAAAUCAGGUAGGACUACCCGCUGAACUUAAGCAUAUCAAUAAGCGGAGGA
rnacentral:rRNA from 1 species